rnacentral:piRNA from 1 species
UGGUAUCCAAGUCAGAGAUGUUGUGGCU